UACAGAGGAGCCAAGCGUUGUCCGGAUUGACUGGGCGUAAAGCGCACGCAGGCGGACGCGCGCGUGGGGUGUGAAAUCUGGCCGCUUAACGGCCAGGCGCCAUCCCAUACGGCGCGUCUGGAGUGAUGCAGAGGUCGGUGGAAUUGCCGGUGUAGUGGUGAAAUGCGUAGAGAUCGGCAGGAACACCCAGGGGGAAACCAGCCGACUGGGCAUCUACUGACGCUGAGGUGCGAGAGCGUGGGGAGCGGAACCGG
rnacentral:rRNA from 1 species